ensembl:lncRNA novel transcript, antisense to ITGA9
UUUUUUUUUUUUUUUUUUUUUUUUUUAGAGAGUCUUAAUGUACAGUGGAAAGUAAAGGAUCCAUUACCAUUAAUUCCGGUGGGGAAAAAAACCAGGGACCUGACAUUCCCCAAGCUUAUUUGGCUUUUGAUAAACCUAGUAUCUUGAGAGAUCUUAGCCAUCUGUGGAAUAAUUUAAUAAAUACUGCUCUCACGUGAGAGGCUGUUUAAAGCGUCUGCAGGUCUGCAUUCUACCUUGCUGUCAUUUACAUCUUUCUCUCAAACCCAUGGAAUUUGUGCUGUCUGUGCACCACAGUCAGCAGCACAUUCUCACUUAGAACGGGCGUUUCAUCCUGACCCAGGAUGGCAAUUUCCUCUAGCUUAGUUCUGAAAAGACCCUGCCCUUUGAUGUUACAUUUGGUCUUACAACUUUUCACAUAUGGUAAGACAAGUGUCUAGUUUUUCUCACAUAGUCAUCACCACCAAACAGUGAAGCAACGUUUGUAGCCCAAAGCUUACCUUUCCUCCCAUGCUCUGAGAGACUCGGCAUCUCUCGUCCUUGGCUCACUAACAUUGGUGGGCUCUGUUUAUGAGGUCAGACAUUCCUCUCUGCAUCUUCCUUUAAACAAGGCUGACUGUAUCGGGUGUACAAAUACCCCAGCUCCCUCUCUCCUUGGGUGGGAUAACCCUGAGGUGUACGUUCUACCAGUUUCCCCAUGGAGCUUGCCUGCAGAGGUAACCAGCUUGAUGACAAAUCUUUUAUUGGCUUCCUUCCCUGCUCUCCAACAGUUUUUCCUGAGAUCACCUUCCAAAUAAAUGACUUGCCCUCAAA